GCCAUGAGUCAGGGCGGUGUGUGGCGGCCCGCGGGUGUGAGGGAGUGCGCAUCGGGCCUUGGGUUCCUCUUCAGGCGCACUCCAAUUUUAGUUCAGUCGUCAGCUUAAUUGCUUACAAAGGAGUAUAAGUGGAGUCCCAAAAAUGUGUGGAAUAUAAAUAACUUUGUCUUUCAUCUAAUACAAGGAAUGCUAUUUGCAGUGUGCUGCUGAAGAGUGGAAUGGCUAGUGUCAUGGCAGCACACCAGUUUUUACUGUCAUAUUUAGUGUAAUAGAAAGGGAAUGUCUGCAGAGACUUAAAAAAAAAAAAUACAACCUAAGUAUGUACAGACAGCAUAAAUGUUGUGAAGGAUGGAGAAGCAGGAGCUGGAUCACCAUUUCAGGAGACACUGGUUUUUCAGAACAGAUCAUCCCAGGAGAGUUCAGUCACUUCAUCCAUGAGACCGAACACCAGUUCUAAGUCUCUUUCCAGGUGGCUAAGCAGCAGUGUUAGAACAACAUGAGCUGCAAGCAGUUAAGGGGCAAUCCCAUGCCAAAACCAUGAUGUAUGGACUGCACUGGCCCAGCAAGCUGAUGGGUUAUCGUAGUUACAGAAGAAGCUCAUGGAAGAGUAGCUGUAUGCAGACAUGGCUGGUUUGUGAUCCCUCCAGUGAUGUGAAAGGUUGAGAGGUGUUGUGAAGAUCUGCAAGACCAAGCUGGAAAAACCUUUGAGGUUUUUGAGAAAACUUCUGCGGGCUGAGGAAGCAGCAGGAUGUGCAGUUACACAGCCAUCCAUGUUGCAGCUGCAUCCAGUGCAGGGAUCUAUCUUUUAACAGGCUGUUUCCCCCCCACUUUCCACUGUUACCUUUCAGUACAGUACCAAAACCCGCUUUCCUCUGUGUAACAUCUCAUAAAACAAGGUGCUUGGUCAACUUCGUAGUUCAUAACAAUGAAACUGGCAUAUGUAACUUGGAGAUUUUUUCUAGAAAGAAAGUUUUAGCUUUACACCUGCAAGUUCUGCAUCCAUAGGCUACCACUGCAUUCCCACUGAAUUUCAGAGUUUUGAUCCUAAGUACCACUGGGCAGGUUGUGCCUAAGCUUUAAUUUGAAGGCUUUUUUAAAAUUAUUUUUAAAGUGUUGUAGGUAAUGUUUGUAUUCAGAAAUAAUACACUGAAUACUUUCCUAUUUUACCUAGAGAGGUAAUAUUGUACCAAAAAAAUCUGUACUGAUUUUUUCCUAAAGGAACUUGGAAACAAAACAGUGUGGCCAUUGUAUUUCAAACAUUAGAGCAAUUGUUUAGUACAUGUGGUGCAACCCUAAAUUUCCAUGUCAGAACAUGGUGCCAACUCCGAGUCUCUGUAAAUUAUGAUACUGUAGGCAUGCACAUGUUUAAACAAGUGCUUUCCUAUCUUGGGGUUAUAUAAUCGUAUUUAUGUAUACUGUUUGGAAAAGCCAGACAACACUCUAAAGUGAUAAAAAGGAACUGAAAACAUAUGCUUAUUUUCCACACCAUUGUACUUUUGAAACAAAGCAAAACCUGUUAUGGUGCUUGGCUCUUUUUCUAAGUAUAUUGGCAUUUGUUAUAUAUAAAUACUAAUGAUGCUUAUUCAUGUAUAUCAUAAAAAGCUGUAGGUAGGAAAAAAGAGGCCUACUAAAACAAAUACAGAUAAACAAAGAAUAAUUCAUUGCUUGCAGUUGAAAGUAUAUUGCACUAUAGCUUGCAUUACAACAGUACGCUCAUGAACCUGUUACUCUAAACAUCUUUCAAUUACAGAUUUAGGCAGCCAAAAUAUUAGUGUAACUGCAUUUCAAUUCAACAGGCUACCUAGUGGCCUAACCUACUACUGAAGGUCAGGAGAAUAUAACUCAUCCUCCCCAGUGCCUAGACAUCACCAGCUACAUUUCUGGAGAUAUCCUGGAAAAUGAAACUGUGAAAACAUUCCAAGAGCUUCAGCAGGAUUAUUGUCUAUGAUGAGAUCCUCUUCGACAAUACCCAGGCCUUGCUGCACAUAAUACCUGAUAAAAAUCAAACCUCCCCCUUGGGACCACUCUGCUCGCUGUGCACAGUAUUUCAAAUGGAUUUAUAAUAUGUGGAAUCAGCACCAUCAGCGACGAAAACUAGCUCACAGCUUCUCACCCACAUUCUCAGUUUAAGUAUUCAUUGUACUUUCAAACGUCUUGCUUUCUUACUUUUCAAAGAAGGCUUCUCAUGUGCCGUAAUAGCUAGCCCUGGAAGAUGCUGUUCAUUUUACUCUAUUUCCCUUUAUGGACAAAACAGAUUACCCUCUGAGAUACUAUUUCUGAUUUUUUUAAGUUAUAAAAAUAAAAGUGUGUUUUCCUAUAAUAUUUAUUAUUCUUCUUGGAAUUACCAUAUGGAAACAAUGGCUGUAUAGAAUAGUUAAGACACUGUACAAGAUUAAUUGAUUGUAGGAUCAGCAGCGUGUUCAAAGAGCAUUAGCUUUUCCCAAGAUAAGAAUAUUAUUACAAAUUAGAAGAGGACUGUAACAGGCAGUGCUGGCCCUUGAAACCAAGCUCCACAUACACCCCCGCACCACUGCUGAUUUCAGUCUAAGCCUUAUGCACUAGAGUGCUGUGGAGGAUGAUCACGUGACCAAUGUAAUUCCCUAAUGCAUGUGUGAUCAGAUAGCGUAAGAAAAGAAGAGCAUCUCCCUAACUGGAAAACAUUUGGAAGACUGGUAGCUGCUGUAGAACUAAUCUAAAUGAGAAACUUAAAAGGUAAGCACGUUGUUUUGAUUAGAGAGCCAGACCUAGGAAAACAGCAAGAGGAAAGCUAAGCUUUAUGAGAAAGUGAAGAAAGAAACUGCAGAAGGAAAGGAUGCAGAAAGUUUGGUUUGUAACUGAAGAGGGCUUUUGUUCUUGUUAGUAUUAGAAAUCAGUAUUCUUUUCAGCUAUAAAAUACAAUUAGGGUUAUGUUGAUCUUACUUUGCUGAGACAAGGAGCUGGACAGAUUCUGGACAAGUGUGUGACUCAUGGAAAGAGUAACUAGUAGAGAACUUGCUUGACUUGAACUCUUGCUUAUAGACAUUUUAUUUACCCCAGGGGAAGGGUGAAAGUUUCCAGUUUGGCAUAGAGCUAAACUACUUUACCAGUGAGAGAGAACUCAAAGCCUCCUUUGCUGAGAAGAUAAGCUUUCAUGUUACAGGAUAAAGGCUGACAUGUAAUGAAGAAUAUUACAUAGCAAGAGAAGAAAAAGAUGCCUUAAAUCAUCUUUCUUUUAACUGUGAAAACUAGCUCAUGGAGUGUUCGACAUAUAUAUAGUAUUUAACUAGGUGGUCACAUUGACUUCUUUUCAAUACCUAAGACAAACCAUUGCACAUCAAUUUACAGCAGACACUUUUACCAAACAAUAAAAAAAAAUGCUCCCUGCUUUGAGGAAUGGAGAAUCUGUAAUAGCUCUUUCGGCAGUAUUCUUUUCCAUUAAAAACUCAGAGAAUUCAGACAAAAUGCUUUUUUGAGUUUUAUUCCUAAUGUGAAUAAUAAGCCACCUGUCUGGUAGCAACACUUAAGGGCACUUCAAAAUUUUUACUGUAGAAUCAUUUGGGAGGAGCUAAAUUCCAGAAAAUUACCUGCUAUAGAGGUGUAGUUUAUAUGCAAAUUCAGCCUCAGCUAAUCCGUACAAACAUGUUUUAACAGAAAGGAAAAAAACAAACUUACCAAAGGUGCUGAUCAGAGCUCUUUAAAGCAAUCUAAAAUAUGCAUAAAUUAAGCAGAACUCCCCAGUUUCUCCUGAACAGAGCAGAAGGUAAUCCUCAUGUGCUGCUUGCCUUAGGGGUCACAGAGAGAGAGAGAUGACAUGAGAUUUGGAUGCAGAAUCCAAACAAACUCUUCUAAUAAAUGAGUUAUGAAUAUGGAGCUUCAUUUUUUUUGUAAACCCUACCUCAAAAUAUGAGGAAAAACUUAAACUACUGUUGUGAAUCUUUUGUUCAGAGUAACUAAAUAUUUGUGUAGCUUUAUAAAAAGACUUUGUUCAAUCUACUUGUCUUGUCAAAUCAUCUAGAUCCCCUCUGCACUAAAAACAAUACUUGAAUUCUUUCAGAAACAAAAAAACUCCAUCAACAUUCAAUUUGAAAAUAAGAAAACAACAGGUAACAGAAAUUCAAUGUGUCAGUCCUAUCUUUGAGCAGAACUAAGUUAUUUAGUAGAAAUCUAUUCUAGACUUUGAAAGAUGUGUGAUAACAAAGAUGAUGAGCUGACUGAAGAACAACUAUACAGUUAUGGCUUGGAAAAGCUGCUUUAAAUAGUGAGACAAAAUAGCAGUAUUUGAUGUACUGUACUGUAUAGAAUCACAAAAGAUUCUUAUGGAUUCUGAGAAUGUUACAUAGUAUAGCUUAAGCAAAACUGGCAAACGCCCAGAAAAACCAACCCACCGGUGUUUUUGCCAAUCAGUGCUAAGGACUUAUGUAUGGUCUUUGUUCAGGUUCUCUCUAUUGGAGGGGGUUUCUCUCUAUUUCAGUAGUUGGCAGUCAUAAUUUCUGAUUUUCGUAAUUACAGUUGCUGUUAAAUGAACUCUGCUUGAAAAACUCUUGCAGGUUACCUCACUGGGAAUCAUCAAACUUGCCCUUCUGGAGAAGAAUACUGAUCCUUGUCAGCCAUAGGUACAGCCUCCCAGAAAAUGAGAGACACCUCAGGUGAAAUCUGCUUAGAAGGAGUAUAGGAAUUGCUUGAUCUUAGGUCAGCAAUAGCCAUCGAUGUGCUUUGAACAGGAAUAGACAAGAGGCUUUUGUACAAAGGUUGUUCUUUUUUUCUUCAGAUGACAUCUUUUCAGUUCAAGAUUGUACAUACUCUGAUAGGUAA